GACGUAGGGGGCCAGCGUUGCUCGGAAUUACUGGGUGUAAAGGGUUCGUAGGCGGUGUGGCAAGUCGGGAGUGAAAUCUCUGGGCUCAACCCAGAGUCUGCUUCCGAAACUGCUGUGCUUGAGUGUGGGAGAGGCGCGUGGAAUUGCAGGUGUAGCGGUGAAAUGCGUAGAUAUCUGCAGGAACACCCGCGGCAAAGCGGCGCGCUGGACCACUACUGACGCUGAGGAACGAAAGCUAGGGAGCAAACAGG
rnacentral:rRNA from 1 species